UCAAUAAGCGGAGGAAAAGAAACCAACAGGGAUUGCCUCAGUAACGGCGAGUGAAGCGGCAACAGCUCAAAUUUGAAAUCUGGCCUCACGGUCCGAGUUGUAAUUUGUAGAGGAUGCUUUUGGCGAGGUGCUUUCCGAGUUCCCUGGAACGGGACGCCAUAGAGGGUGAGAGCCCCGUACGGUAAGACCACCGAGCCUCUGUAAAGCUCCUUCGACGAGUCGAGUAGUUUGGGAAUGCUGCUCUAAAUGGGAGGUGUACGUCUUCUAAAGCUAAAUACCGGCCAGAGACCGAUAGCGCACAAGUAGAGUGAUCGAAAGAUGAAAAGCACUUUGAAAAGAGGGUUAAAAAGUACGUGAAAUUGUUGAAAGGGAAGCAUUCAUGACCAGACUUGGGCUUGGUUGAACAUCCGGCGUUCUCGCCGGUGCACUCUGCCAGUCCAGGCCAGCAUCAGUUUGCCCCGGGGGACAAAGGCGGUGGGAAUGUGGCUCUCUUCGGGGAGUGUUAUAGCCCGCCGUGUAAUGCCCUGGGGCGGACUGAGGAACGCGCUUCGGCACGGAUGCUGGCGUAAUGGUCAUCAAUGACCCGUCUUGAAACACGGACCAAGGAGUCGUCUUCGUAUGCGAGUGUUCGGGUGUCAAACCCCUACGCGUAAUGAAAGUGAACGUAGGUGAGAGCUUCGGCGCAUCACCGACCGAUCCUGAUGUUCUCGGAUGGAUUUGAGUAAGAGCAUACGGGGCCGGACCCGAAAGAAGGUGAACUAUGCCUGUAUAGGGUGAAGCCAGAGGAAACUCUGGUGGAGGCUCGCAGCGGUUCUGACGUGCAAAUCGAUCGUCAAAUAUGGGCAUGGGGGCGAAAGACUAAUCGAACCUUCUAGUAGCUUGGUU
rnacentral:rRNA from 1 species